UUCAUCAUCGGCUCGCUUGAAAUGAAUUAGCUGAAUCUCUAUACUGUGUGGUUCUACUCAACGUGAUAAGUACUCCGUUGAGGACAGCAGGGCUUGCCCUGUUGGCCACUGGAAUGGAUCGAUACGCUUCUAAUCAGCACAGACUUCGGGAGCUGGCAAUUAUGACAAUCUGGCCUCAAAUCAGGUGGGACUACCCGCUGAACUUAAGCAUAUCAAUAAGCGGAGGAAAAGAAACUAACAAGGAUUCCCCUAGUAACGGCGAGUGAAGCGGGAUGAGCUCAAAUUUAAAAUCUGGCAGUCUACGAUUGUCCGAGUUGUAAAUUCGAGAAGUGUUUUCCGCGGCGGCCUGUGUACAAGUCCCUUGGAAUAGGGCGUCAUAGAGGGUGAGAGUCCCGUCCUUGACACAGAUUACCGUUGCUUUGUGAUACACUCUCUAUGAGUCGAGUUGUUUGGGAAUGCAGCUCAAAUUGGGUGGUAAAUUCCAUCUAAAGCUAAAUACUGGCGAGAGACCGAUAGCGAACAAGUACCGUGAGGGAAAGAUGAAAAGCACUUUGGAAAGAGAGUCAAACAGUACGUGAAAUUGUUGAAAGGGAAACGAUUGAAGUCAGUCGUGCCUGCCUUGUUCAGCCGUCCUUGUGGCGGUGUAUUCAUGGUAUGGCAGGUCAGCAUCACUUUGGGCGAGUCGACAAGGGGUUCAGGAAUGUGGCAUCCUCGGAUGUGUUAUAGCCUGGGCUCGCAUCGGCUUGGCUGGAGUGAGGAACGCAGUGCGCCCGCAAGGGUA
rnacentral:rRNA from 1 species